CAGUCGCCGCGGUAAAACGAAGGGUGCAAGCGUUACUCGGAAUUACUGGGCGUAAAGCGUGCGUAGGUGGUGGUUUAAGUCCGUUGUGAAAGCCCUGGGCUCAACCUGGGAAUUGCAGUGGAUACUGGGUCACUAGAGUGUGGUAGAGGAUAGUGGAAUUUCCGGUGUAGCAGUGAAAUGCGUAGAGAUCGGAAGGAACAUCUGUGGCGAAGGCGACUAUCUGGGCCAACACUGACACUGAGGCACGAAAGCGUGGGGAGCAAGCAGGAUUAGAUACCCCCGUAGUCCCUGUCUCUUAUAC
rnacentral:rRNA from 1 species